rnacentral:rRNA from 1 species
GAUGAACGCUGGCGGCGUGCCUAAUACAUGCAAGUCGAGCGAACAGAUGAGGAGCUUGCUCCUCUGACGUUAGCGGCGGACGGGUGAGUAACACGUGGAUAACCUACCUAUAAGACCGGGAUAACUUCGGGAAACCGGAGCUAAUACCGGAUAAUAUAUUGAACCGCAUGGUUCAAUAGUGAAAGACGGUUUUGCUGUCACUUAUAGAUGGAUCCGCGCCGCAUUAGCUAGUUGGUAAGGUAACGGCUUACCAAGGCAACGAUGCGUAGCCGACCUGAGAGGGUGAUCGGCCACACUGGAACUGAGACACGGUCCAGACUCCUACGGGAGGCAGCAGUAGGGAAUCUUCCGCAAUGGGCGAAAGCUUGACGGAGCAACGCCGCGUGAGUGAUGAAGGUCUUCGGAUCGUAAAACUCUGUUAUUAGGGAAGAACAAAUGUGUAAGUAACUAUGCACGUCUUGACGGUACCUAAUCAGAAAGCCACGGCUAACUACGUG